UACGUAGGGUCCGAGCGUUGUCCGGAAUUACUGGGCGUAAAGAGCUCGUAGGUGGUUUGUCGCGUUGUUCGUGAAAACUCACAGCUUAACUGUGGGCGUGCGGGCGAUACGGGCAGACUUGAGUACUGCAGGGGAGACUGGAAUUCCUGGUGUAGCGGUGGAAUGCGCAGAGUAUCAGGAGGAACACCGGUGGCGAAGGCGGGUCUCUGGGCAUUAACUGACGCUGGAGGAGCGAAAGCCAUGGGGAGCGA
rnacentral:rRNA from 1 species